GUUGAGGGGUUGGAAGAGACCUUUAGAACAGCUGGUUGUUAUGCCAACUAGGUGUCUGCACGAAGUUUGGCAUCAAUAUGAUGACCUCCCGGGAGCAGGGGGCCACCAGGUCGCCUAAGGAUGAGUGAACUGGCCCAGAUCAGAAAGGGAGCAGGUCAGAACUCCCACACCGACAGGUAGUAGGACUGUGCCUGGGCAACAUAGCAAGAUCUU
rnacentral:sRNA from 1 species